rnacentral:rRNA from 1 species
AGUGAACGCUGGCGGUAGGCCUAACACAUGCAAGUCGAACGGCAGCACAGUAAGAGCUUGCUCUUACGGGUGGCGAGUGGCGGACGGGUGAGGAAUACAUCGGAAUCUACUUUUUCGUGGGGGAUAACGUAGGGAAACUUACGCUAAUACCGCAUACGACCUACGGGUGAAAGCAGGGGAUCUUCGGACCUUGCGCGAUUGAAUGAGCCGAUGUCGGAUCAGCUAGUUGGCGGGGUAAAGGCCCACCAAGGCGACGAUCCGUAGCUGGUCUGAGAGGAUGAUCGGCCACACUGGAACUGAGACACGGUCCAGACUCCUACGGGAGGCAGCAGUGGGGAAUAUUGGACAAUGGGCGCAAGCCUGAUCCAGCCAUACCGCGUGGGUGAAGAAGGCCUUCGGGUUGUAAAGCCCUUUUGUUGGGAAAGAAAAGCAGCAGGUUAAUACCCCGCUGUUCUGACGGUACCCAAAGAAUAAGCACCGGCUAACUUCGUG